UAUCAAACCAAACCCCUAUUGCUUUAGAAUUGCCGAAGCCUUCAAUUCCUCUCCCUCACCAUGAACAAAACCUACGACAACCAUCAAAGCUCCACCAUCCGGCCACCGUUUGUUAUGAUUUUAGCUUGAUUGUAUAGCUAACAUCUAAUGGAUUAAGGUAGACAUAGUCGGAUCAGACAAACCAUCUUUGUUGUGCUAGAAGUCGAUUGACUUGCAUAGAGUAUAAGUUCCUAGAGCUGCAGUAGUUAGUAGGUGUCAGUAAAAGAUUUGUGAUUUUAUUUCAAACAGUUUAUUUCGAAUGUAAACUCUAAUAUAACAUUUUAAUAUCUAUAAUUAUAUUAUAUAAAAUAGUUUUCUGAAAA